rnacentral:rRNA from 1 species
GGAAUUAUUGGGCGUAAAGCGCGCGCAGGCGGUCUCUUAAGUCUGAUGUGAAAGCCCACGGCUCAACCGUGGAGGGUCAUUGGAAACUGGGAGACUUGAGUGCAGAAGAGGAGAGCGGAAUUCCACGUGUAGCGGUGAAAUGCGUAGAGAUGUGGAGGAACACCAGUGGCGAAGGCGGCUCUCUGGUCUGUAACUGACGCUGAGGCGCGAAAGCGUGGGGAGCGAACAGGAUUAGAUACCCUGGUAGUCCACGCCGUAAACGAUGAGUGCUAAGUGUUAGAGGGCUUCCACCCUUUAGUGCUAUAGCUAACGCAUUAAGCACUCCGCCUGGGGAGUACGGCCGCAAGGCUGAAACUCAAGGGAAUUGACGGGGGCCCGCACAAGCGGUGGAGCAUGUGGUUUAAUUCGAAGCAACGCGAAGAACCUUACCAGGUCUUGAUAUCCUUCGCUACCUCUAGAGAUAGAGGGUUCCCCUUCGGGGGACGGAGUGACGGGUGGUGCAUGGUUGUCGUCAGCUCGUGUCGUGAGAUGUUGGGUUAAGUCCCGCAACGAGCGCAACCCUUGACCUUAGUUGCCAGCAUUCAGUUGGGCACUCUAAGGUGACUGCCGGUGACAAACCGGAGGAAGGUGGGGAUGACGUCAAAUCAUCAUGCCCCUUAUGACCUGGGCUACACACGUGCUACAAUGGAUGGUACAAAGGGUCGCGAAACCGCGAGGUGGGGCUAAUCCCAAAAAACCAUUCUCAGUUCGGAUUGCAGGCUGCAACUCGCCUGCAUGAAGCCGGAAUCGCUAGUAAUCGCGGAUCAGCAUGCCGCGGUGAAUACGUUCCCGGGCCUUGUACACACCGCCCGUCACACCACGAGAGUUUGCAACACCCGAAGUCGGUGAGGUAACCCUUACGGGAGCCAGCCGCCGAAGGUGGGGCAGAUGAUUGGGGUG